UUAGUCAAAAAUAAAAGACUUCAAGGACUUUUAUAGUUUUCCUCCUGACCAAAUUUGUGUAAAAUGCGGACUACUGCGGACUACAGUCGAAAAUGGAAUAUAUAAACAGUGCUCUGCAAGGAUCUUCCGUUGCCCAGCAGAUCCUUAAAUGCCACAUAGAUCUUGUUUAGCGUCAGAUUGGAUAGCCCCUGGCCCAAAUAUCGUACAAAUUUAAGUUGCUCACAUUUGGAUAAAGCGCUCUCGUGGAAGUCCAAAAAGGGUCGAUGAUCGGAUAUCUGAUAUUCCUGUGUACAGUAAUAUAUAUUUAAAGAAAAAAAUAGAAAAUUUCGGGUGAAUAACAAAUAUUCCAAACUAGAA